GACGAGGUGGCCGAGUGGUUAAAGGGGUUGGACUGCUAAUCCAAUGGGCUCUGCCCGCGUGAGUUCGAAUCUCAUCCUCGUCG